CAGCACCUCAAGUGGUCAGGAUGAUUAUUGGGCCUAAAGCAUCCGUAGCCUGCUUUGUUAGUUUUCGGUUAAAUCCAUACGCUCAACGUAUGUGCUGCCGGGAAUACUGCAAAGCUAGGGAGUGGGAGAGGUAGACGGUACUCGGUAGGAAGGGGUAAAAUCCUUUGAUCUAUUGAUGACCACCUGUGGCGAAGGCGGUCUACCAGAACACGUCCGACGGUGAGGGAUGAAAGCUGGGGCAGCAAACCGGAUUAGAUACCCGAGUAGUCC
rnacentral:rRNA from 1 species